AGUGAACGCUGGCGGUAGGCCUAACACAUGCAAGCCGAACGGCAGCACAGUAAGAGCUUGCUCUUACGGGUGGCGAGUGGCGUACGGGUGAGGAAUACAUCGGAAUCUACUUUUUCGUGGGGGUUAACGUAGGGAAACUUACGCUAAUACCGCAUACGACCUACGGGGGAAAGCAUUGGAUCUUCGGACCUUGCGCGAUUGAAUGAGCCGAUGUCGGAUUAGCUAGUUGGCGGGUGAAAUGCCCACCAAGGGGACGGUCCGUAGCUGGUGUGGGAGGAUGGUCCGGCACAGUGGAACUGAGACACGACACAGACUCCGACGGGAGGCAGCAGUGGGGAAUAUUGGAAAAAGGGCGGAAGACUGAUCCAGCCAUACAGCGUGGGUGAAGAAGGCCUUCGGGUUGUAAAGCCGUUUUGUUGGGAAAGAAAAGCAGCAGGUUAAUACCCCGCUGUUCGGACGGUACCCAAAGAAUAAGAACCGGCUAACUUCGU
rnacentral:rRNA from 1 species